UAAGACAGAGGGGGCAAGCGUUGCUCGGAAUUACUGGGCGUAAAGGGCGUGUAGGCGGGACGGUAAGUCGGUUGUGAAAGCCUCCAGCUCAACUGGAGAACGACGAUCGAAACUGCCGUUCUUGAGGGUAGCAGAGGAGAUUGGAAUUCCCGGUGUAGCGGUGAAAUGUGUAGAGAUCGGGAAGAACACCGGUGGCGAAGGCGGGUCUCUGGGCUACUCCUGACGCUGAGGCGCGAAAGCGUGGGGAGCAAACGGGAUUAGAUACCCCGGUAGUCCACGCCGUAAACGAUGAGCACUAGGUGUGGGGGGGUCAGUCCUCUCCGUGCCGCAGCUAACGCGUUAAGUGCUCCGCCUGGGGAGUACGGCCGCAAGGUUG
rnacentral:rRNA from 1 species